GCGGUAUCUAAAUUUGUAUUGAUUGGACUUUCAAGCUCUUGGGAGAUGCAUCUUUUUCUUUUUUGGUUCUUCUCUGUGUUCUACAUGGGAAUUAUCCUGGAAAAUCUCUUCAUUGUGUUCACAGUAAUUAUUGACUCUCAUUUAAAUUCCCCAGGUACUGCCUACUGGCCAACAUUUAUCUUCUUGAUCUGGGUCUUCUCCUACAGUUCUGACUUUUUCACUAACUGCAGCAUCAUUUCUUUUCCAAGAUGCAUCAUACAGAUAUUUUUCAUUUGUGUCAUGCGUAAAAAUUGAGAUGGUGCUGCUCAUAACCAUGGCAUAGAGCAGGUACACUGCCAAUCUGUAAGCCUCCCCAUUACCUGACCACAAUGAACCCCAAAAUGUGUGUUUCCUUUGUUGGAGGCAUCCUGGAUAGUCAGGAUAAUCCAUGCUGUAUCUCAGUUUGUUUUUGCCAUAAACUUGCCUUUUUGUGGCCCUAAUAGAGUAGGUAGUUUUCACUGUGAUUUUCCUUAUGUCAUGAAACUUGCUUGUGUAGACACUUACAAACUAGAGGUUGUAGUCACUGCUAACAGUGGGCUUAUAUCCAUAGCUACCUGUUUCUUAUUAAUAAUAUCCUAUAUUUUCAUUUCGGUAACCGUCUAGAAUCCUUCUUCAGGAGACUUAUCUAAAGCAUUUGUGUCAUGUUAGAUCACAUCACAGUAGGGAUUUUGUUUUUUAUGCCAUGUAUAUUUCUGUAUGUGUAGCCUUUGCCUAAAACAACACAUGAUUAAUAUUUGUUCAUUGUUCCUUUUGCUAUCACCCCUGUCUAGGAUCUACACAUUAAGAAACAAAGACAUGAAC
rnacentral:lncRNA from 1 species